rnacentral:rRNA from 1 species
UUAAGGGCGUCGAGCGGCGGACGGGUGAGUAAUGCCUAGGAAAUUGCCCUGAUGUGGGGGAUAACCAUUGGAAACGAUGGCUAAUACCGCAUKAUGCCUACGGGCCAAAGAGGGGGACCUUCGGGCCUCUCGCGUCAGGAUAUGCCUAGGUGGGAUUAGCUAGUUGGUGAGGUAAUGGCUCACCAAGGCGACGAUCCCUAGCUGGUCUGAGAGGAUGAUCAGCCACACUGGAACUGAGACACGGUCCAGACUCCUACGGGAGGCAGCAGUGGGGAAUAUUGCACAAUGGGCGCAAGCCUGAUGCAGCCAUGCCGCGUGUGUGAAGAAGGCCUUCGGGUUGUAAAGCACUUUCAGUCGUGAGGAAGGUGGUAGUGUUAAUAGCACUAUCAUUUGACGUUAGCGACAGAAGAAGCACCGGCUAACUCCGUGCCAGCAGCCGCGGUAAUACGGAGGGUGCGAGCGUUAAUCGGAAUUACUGGGCGUAAAGCGCAUGCAGGUGGUUUGUUAAGUCAGAUGUGAAAGCCCGGGGCUCAACCUCGGAAUAGCAUUUGAAACUGGCAGACUAGAGUACUGUAGAGGGGGGUAGAAUUUCAGGUGUAGCGGUGAAAUGCGUAGAGAUCUGAAGGAAUACCGGUGGCGAAGGCGGCCCCCUGGACAGAUACUGACACUCAGAUGCGAAAGCGUGGGGAGCAAACAGGAUUAGAUACCCUGGUAGUCCACGCCGUAAACGAUGUCUACUUGGAGGUUGUGGCCUUGAGCCGUGGCUUUCGGAGCUAACGCGUUAAGUAGACCGCCUGGGGAGUACGGUCGCAAGAUUAAAACUCAAAUGAAUUGACGGGGGCCCGCACAAGCGGUGGAGCAUGUGGUUUAAUUCGAUGCAACGCGAAGAACCUUACCUACUCUUGACAUCCAGAGAACUUUCCAGAGAUGGAUUGGUGCCUUCGGGAACUCUGAGACAGGUGCUGCAUGGCUGUCGUCAGCUCGUGUUGUGAAAUGUUGGGUUAAGUCCCGCAACGAGCGCAACCCUUAUCCUUGUUUGCCAGCGAGUAAUGUCGGGAACUCCAGGGAGACUGCCGGUGAUAAACCGGAGGAAGGUGGGGACGACGUCAAGUCAUCAUGGCCCUUACGAGUAGGGCUACACACGUGCUACAAUGGCGCAUACAGAGGGCAGCAAGCUAGCGAUAGUGAGCGAAUCCCAAAAAGUGCGUCGUAGUCCGGAUUGGAGUCUGCAACUCGACUCCAUGAAGUCGGAAUCGCUAGUAAUCGUGGAUCAGAAUGCCACGGUGAAUACGUUCCCGGGCCUUGUACACACCGCCCGUCACACCAUGGGAGUGGGCUGCAAAAGAAGUAGGUAG